AGAGCGAACGCUGGCGGCAGGCCUAACACAUGCAAGUCGAACGGACUCUUCGGAGUUAGUGGCGGACGGGUGAGUAACACGUGGGAACGUGCCUUUAGGUUCGGAAUAAGCCCGGGAAACUGGGUCUAAUACCGAAUGUGCCCUUCGGGGGAAAGAUUUAUCGCCUUUAGAGCGGCCCGCGUCUGAUUAGCUAGUUGGUGGUGUAAUGGACCACCAAGGCGACGAUCAGUAGCUGGUCUGAGAGGAUGACCAGCCACAUUGGGACUGAGACACGGCCCAAACUCCUACGGGAGGCAGCAGUGGGGAAUAUUGCACAAUGGGCGCAAGCCUGAUGCAGCAACGCCGCGUGAGGGACGAAGGCCUUCGGGUUGUAACCUCUUUAGUAGGAAGAAGCGAGGUGUUAUUCAUUCAUGACGGUACCUGUCCAGAAAAGCACCGGCUAACUACGUGCCAGCAGCGC
rnacentral:rRNA from 1 species